UACGUAGGGUGCGAGCGUUUAAUCGGAAUUACUGGGCGUAAAGCGUGCGCAGGCGGUGAUGUAAGACCGAUGUGAAAUCCCCGGGCUUAACCUGGGAACUGCAUUGGUGACUGGCAGGCUUUGAGUGUGGCAGAGGGAGGUAGAAUUCCACGUGUAGCAGUGAAAUGCGUAGAGAUGUGGAGGAACACCGAUGGCGAAGGCAGCCCCCCUGGGUCAAGAUUGACGCUCAUGCACGAAAGCGUGGGGAGCAAACAGG
rnacentral:rRNA from 1 species